CCUUGAAAUACCACCCUUUAAUGUUUGAUGUUCUAACGUGGACCCGUGAUCCGGGUUGCGGACAGUGUCUGGUGGGUAGUUUGACUGGGGCGGUCUCCUCCUAAAGAGUAACGGAGGAGCACGAAGGUUGGCUAAUCCUGGUCGGACAUCAGGAGGUUAGUGCAAUGGCAUAAGCCAGCUUGACUGCGAGCGUGACGGCGCGAGCAGGUGCGAAAGCAGGUCAUAGUGAUCCGGUGGUUCUGAAUGGAAGGGCCAUCGCUCAACGGAUAAAAGGUACUCCGGGGAUAACAGGCUGAUACCGCCCAAGAGUUCAUAUCGACGGCGGUGUUUGGCACCUCGAUGUCGGCUCAUCACAUCCUGGGGCUGAAGUAGGUCCCAAGGGUAUGGCUGUUCGCCAUUUAAAGUGGUACGCGAGCUGGGUUUAGAACGUCGUGAGACAGUUCGGUCCCUAUCUGCCGUGGGCGCUGGAGAACUGAGGGGGGCUGCUCCUAGUACGAGAGGACCGGAGUGGACGCAUCACUGGUGUUCGGGUUGUCAUGCCAAUGGCACUGCCCGGUAGCUAAAUGCGGAAGAGA
rnacentral:rRNA from 2 species